AAUCGAUGCUGAGCUCAUCGAUGCCCCAGUACUGGAUCUCCUGCAGGAAGGAGAGCGCGCACAGCUGCUCCAUGACAUGCAGGAGACACUAGAGUCCAGGGAGGUCAGGGAGCCGCUGUCCAGCGGCGAGUCCAGCAGCGCUCUGCCGCUGGAAGGCAUCUCUAACCCAGUCGCCGCGGCCUGAGGGCGCCACAAAGUUGGGGACACGCCGGAAGCUUUGGUCCCGCGAGGGCGGUGGCACGGCCCCUGGUGGCGGCCGGGAUUCCCCGGGCUCCCGAAGGGGUUACCUCUCCUUGGCGCACCCUCUCCACCCGCUGUGCGCCUUCCUCCUCCUGCCGCUAGGGAGCCGGGAGUGCGCGGAAGCAGCGCACAAGUGGCAGAAAGAGGAGACAGGGAGCAGAGGAAGGGUCGCGCUAAGAGAGAGGAUCAGGUGAGGUCCAAGCCCGACACAGUCCCUGUGCACACUGCCGGUCGCCCUGGCCCUUCCCAAACGUUGUCACCCCGCCUCCCAACUUCGCAAUUGCGAUUCCCAGCCCAGGAGGUGUACAGAUUGACCUGUUGGACUCGGGGUGAGGAGGUGGGGGUGGGAGGGAAGAGCAAGUGACUCACCUGCAGCUCCCGGCACAUCUGGUCUGCGCACAACCGGCGCCGCAGGUAUCAAUCUAUGAAACAAAUGAAAUAGGAGUGUUUUUCCUAAAGAUAGGGAAAGAAACUUGUGUAUGGCACAGUGGAAACAAUGAAGUUGAAGGGUACGGCUUAAUGGAUGAUGAAAAUGAGAUGUUCGGGGGACAAGAGAGGGGUAAGUUCUGUCUUCAAUGAACCUUUGCAUUGCU
rnacentral:lncRNA from 1 species